rnacentral:rRNA from 1 species
UGGGGAAUUUUGGACAAUGGGCGAAAGCCUGAUCCAGCAAUGCCGCGUGUGUGAAGAAGGCCUUCGGGUUGUAAAGCACUUUUGUCCGGAAAGAAAUCCUUGGCUCUAAUACAGUCGGGGGAUGACGGUACCGGAAGAAUAAGCACCGGCUAACUACGUGCCAGCAGCCGCGGUAAUACGUAGGGUGCAAGCGUUAAUCGGAAUUACUGGGCGUAAAGCGUGCGCAGGCGGUUUGCUAAGACCGAUGUGAAAUCCCCGGGCUCAACCUGGGAACUGCAUUGGUGACUGGCAGGCUAGAGUAUGGCAGAGGGGGGUAGAAUUCCACGUGUAGCAGUGAAAUGCGUAGAGAUGUGGAGGAAUACCGAUGGCGAAGGCAGCCCCCUGGGCCAAUACUGACGCUCAUGCACGAAAGCGUGGGGAGCAAACAGGAUUAGAUACCCUGGUAGUCCACGCCCUAAAACGAUGUCAACUAGUUGUUGGGGAUUCAUUUCCUUAGUAACGUAGCUAACGCGUGAAGUUGACCGCCUGGGGAGUACGGCCGCAAGAUUAAAACUCAAAUGAAUUGAC